rnacentral:antisense_RNA from 1 species
CGCCAUGGCGGAUUGUGCGGGCAGUCGAAAGGCUGGCCGUUACUCCUACGGUAUUGCUACCCCGCGCAAUCUGCCGCCUUA